AACGCGAAGAACCUUACCUGGGCUCGAAAUGUAGUGGAAUCCGGUGGAAACAUCGGCGUCUAGCAAUAGACCGCUAUAUAGGUGCUGCAUGGCUGUCGUCAGCUCGUGUCGUGAGAUGUUGGGUUAAGUCCCGCAACGAGCGCAACCCUUAUUACCAGUUGCUACCAUUUAGUUGAGCACUCUGGUGAGACUGCCUCGGAUAACGGGGAGGAAGGCGGGGAUGACGUCAAGUCCUCAUGGCCUUUAUGUCCAGGGCUACACACGUGCUACAAUGGCCGGUACAAACCGUCGCAAACCCGUGAGGGGGAGCUAAUCGGAAAAAGCCGGCCUCAGUUCGGAUUGGAGUCUGCAACUCGACUCCAUGAAGCUGGAAUCGCUAGUAAUCGCGGAUCAGAACGCCGCGGUGAAUACGUUCCCGGGCCUUGUACACACCGACAUA
rnacentral:rRNA from 1 species